AUUGAACGCUGGCGGCAGGCCUAACACAUGCAAGUCGAGCGGAUGACGGGAGCUUGCUCCUUGAUUCAGCGGCGGACGGGUGAGUAAUACCUAGGAAUCUGCCUGAUAGUGGGGGACAACGUUUCGAAAGGAACGCUAAUACCGCAUACGUCCUACGGGAGAAAGCAGGGGACCUUCGGGCCUUGCGCUAUCAGAUGAGCCUAGGUCGGAUUAGCUAGUUGGUGAGGUAAUGGCUCACCAAGGCGACGAUCCGUAACUGGUCUGAUAGGAUGAUCAGUCACACUGGAACUGAGACACGGUCCAGACUCCUACGGGAGGCAGCAGUGGGGAAUAUUGGACAAUGGGCGAAAGCCUGAUCCAGCCAUGCCGCGUGUGUGAAGAAGGUCUUCGGAUUGUAAAGCACUUUAAGUUGGGAGGAAGGGCAGUAAGCUAAUACCUUGCUGUUUUGACGUUACCGACAGAAUAAGCACCGGCUAACUCUGUGCCAGCCGCCGCAGUAAUAC
rnacentral:rRNA from 1 species